GGCCCCUUGGUCAAGCGGUCAAGACAUCGCCCUCUCACGGCGGGAACAAGAGUUCGAUUCUCUUAGGGGUCACCA
rnacentral:tRNA from 1 species